rnacentral:rRNA from 1 species
GAGGAAUAUUGCUCAAUGGGCGAAAGCCUGAAGCAGCAACGCCGCGUGCGCGAUGAAGGUCUUCGGAUCGUAAAGCGCUUUUGAGAGGGACGAGAUAGGACGGUACCUCUUGAAUAAGUCACGGCUAACUACGUGCCAGCAGCCGCGGUAAAACGUAGGUGGCAAGCGCUAUCCGGAUUCACUGGGCGUAAAGCGCGUGCAGGUGGCUUCGUAAGUUGGACGUUAAAUCUUUCGGCCUAACCGGGAGGUGUCGUUCAAUACUGCGGGGCUUGAGGGUAGAAGAGGGGGGUGGAAUUGCCGGUGUAGUGGUGAAAUGCGUAGAUAUCGGCAGGAACACCGGUGGCGAAAGCGGCCCCCUGGUCUGCUCCUGACACUCAGGCGCGAAAGCUAGGGGAGUGAACG